AUGUCACAAGUGGGCAGAAGUUCUAUUUGCAGAUGCUUUUUCAUCAUUUUUGAGGAUGCUGGGUUAAAUGCUGAUAAGAUUUCUAUCGAAUUAUGAGGGCCUGAACCCUGUCAUGAGCCCCUGUUGAAGCACAAUGGCUUUUUACAGACAACUACAUGAACAUCCAGUGGAAUACUACACAUAUAUAGUGGUAGCUUAGCGAUAGGAGGUUCAAACAUAGUGGAAGUUACACAGCAAUAAGUAACCCAGAAGGGGGUAUACUAAAAUAU
rnacentral:lncRNA from 1 species